rnacentral:tRNA from 1 species
GCAGCGGUAGUUCAGUUGGUUAGAAUACCGGCCUGUCACGCCGGGGGU